CUACGGGAGGCAGCAGUGAGGAAUAUUGGACAAUGGACGAAAGUCUGAUCCAGCCAUGCCGCGUGCAGGAUGACUGCCCUAUGGGUUGUAAACUGCUUUUAUAUAGGAAGAAACACCCCCACGUGUGGGGGCUUGACGGUACUAUAUGAAUAAGGAUCGGCUAACUCCGUGCCAGCAGCCGCGGUAAUACGGAGGAUCCAAGCGUUAUCCGGAAUCAUUGGGUUUAAAGGGUCCGCAGGCGGCCUGUUAAGUCAGAGGUGAAAGCCAACAGCUCAACUGUUGAACUGCCUUUGAUACUGAUAGGCUUGAGUUAUUGUGAAGUGGUUAGAAUGUGUGGUGUAGCGGUGAAAUGCUUAGAUAUCACACAGAAUACCGAUUGCGAAGGCAGAUCACUAACAAUAUACUGACGCUCAUGGACGAAAGCGUGGGGAGCGAACAGGAUUAGAUACCCUGGUAGUCCACGCCGUAAACGAUGGAUACUAACUGUUCGUCCCGCUUGCGGGAUGAGUGGUCAAGCGAAAGUGAUAAGUAUCCCACCUGGGGAGUACGCUCGCAAGAGUGAAACUCAAAGGAAUUGACGGA
rnacentral:rRNA from 1 species